rnacentral:tRNA from 6 species
CGCGGGGUGGAGCAGUGGCAGCUCGUUGGGCUCAUAACCCAAAGGUCGCAGGUUCGAGUCCUGCCCCCGCUACCA